rnacentral:piRNA from 1 species
CACGUUGAUGGUAAAAUCACCAAG